AUCAACAGGCCGCAGCUCAAGAAACCAGCAACAGUUGCCAGGCACCUCAAGUCACUGAAUCGACCACACCUGACGAAGUCUCUCCCUCCCCGUCCCAGCAGGAAGAAACCAGCAAGAGUCUCAGUCCCACUGCAACUGUCACGAGGCAAGAUUCAUCAGAGGACGCCGAGACCUCAACGACAAGCCACCGUGCCCUGUUCGAAGAUGGUCAGGAGGAGGACCACGCUGCCGCGGCCACCGCCGCCGACGACAAUACAGCCGUGCCGAGGGAGAAGAUCCUGCAGAGGAUCAGCUCCAAGAAGGAGACCAAGUCGUACCAGCUGGGGAAGCAGGUGUCGUUCAAGUGGACCACGGGCGCGGGGCCCCGGAUCGUGUGCGUCCGUGACUACCCGUCGGAGCUCCAGCUCCGGGCACUGGAGCAGGUGCACCUGUCUCCGCGGAGCGGCGGCGCCGCCGCAGCCGCAGGGGCCGGUAGGGCGGCCUCGUCCCGGUUCGCCUCGCCGCAGCGGUGCGGCAGCCCGGUUGCGGCGAGAGGGCGCCGCGAGCCUCUGGCGUCGGCGGGGUGCGGCAGGGCGGCCUCGUCACGGUUCGCGUCGCCGCAGCGGUCCAGCAGCCCGAUGGCGAGAGCGCGCUGCGAGCAGCUGACGCCGAGGGAGGCGUUCCGGACGCACCUGAUGGCCAGAGGUUAACCGGAUCGGAUCAGCCAUUCAGCAAAGCAGCCGAUGGAUGGAGUCAUGGAGAGACACUUUCUCUUCUUCCUUUAUCCCCUCUUGUGCAUAGGAGAAAGAAAAAGAAUAAAGAUGGGAGUGAAAAAUUGCUUCCCGUGUUAGAUCUUGUAGAGCGCCACACACACACACACGUGAAUACGUAAUCAAAUACAGAAUUCUUUCAUUCUUUGGUACCAUGAUGAAAUAAUGCAGGCUCUAAUUCUACGCGAAUACAUAAUCAAUACAAAAUUCUCUAA
rnacentral:lncRNA from 1 species